rnacentral:rRNA from 1 species
UACGUAGGGUGCAAGCGUUGUCCGGAAUUAUUGGGCGUAAAGAGGCUCGUAGGCGGUUUGUCGCGUCUGGCUGUGAAAACGCGAGGCUCAACCUCGCGCCUGCAGUGGGUACGGGCAGACUGGAGUGCGGUAGGGGAGAUUGGAAUUCCUGGUGUAGCGGUGGAAUGCGCAGAUAUCAGGAGGAACACCGAUGGCGAAGGCAGAUCUCCUGGGCCGUAACUGACGCUGAGGAGCGGAAAGCAUGGGGAGCGAACAGG